ensembl:lncRNA
CUCUUCCCAGAACUCAUUUAAGGGUUGGCAGUGGAGGUGAGGGUGUUUGGUUGGAGCUCCCUACGUACCUGAGGCCUUUCAAAGUCACAUCUUUUGAAAUACGUGGUCUUAGCAAAAUCCAUUUGAAAUGAAGUCUCAGAGCUGACAAGCAGUGAUUUAUCACAGAACAGAACUGAAAGAGGACAUACAGAAUAUCAUGGCUACCAGAUGUCAUUACAAACAUCACCUAACAUCAAAAGCUGCACCUCAUUAUAGAGGAAAGGAAAAGGAAAAAGAAGGAAAAUAAACACUCCAGUCUGGAAGAAGAGUAAUUCUUUAGAAGUGGGGUCAGAAAAGAGAGGAAAUGAGGUUAUGAGUUAUGCUUUGUGUCCCUCUUUGAAUUCUCUGUCUAGAAUUUGCAGGUGACUGAAGACGGUCAAGUUAUUGGUCCCACUGCAGACAGAAGCACACAACUCUGCUGUCUAUGAAACAUCGGCAUGGUACUCUUGUAAUGGAGGAAGGAUUGACUGAUAUUAGAACAUCUAAGAUGACAGGUCCAGAGAAGGAUUUGCCAAAGGAAUCUGGUGGUAACCAGUCAGGCUCAUACAGGGAAAUGACACAUGGAAAUAAAGCAGCCCUCCCCUUCUUCCCUCUCUUCCCUCUAGGAGUGAAUUACCUAUGAACGGCAUUCUUGGGGCUUCCCAGAAAGCUUAGAGGAGCACAGAGUCAUCAGCAGGACGUUACAGUAACAAAUGAUGUAGAGAACUCUGAGUCUGAUCAGUUCUAAUGGAGUCCCACAGUGGUGCAGCAGACACAGAGUGCCCACAUCAGUUCUUCAUCAAGCAGAAUUCCUCCAAGAGCUUCAUGGCAGAGCCCCAAACCCACAGCCUUACAGGCUGGAACUGCUUCCAUCUUUUUCCUGUCUCUGAUUUCUGCAAUCAUCGUGUAUAGAUUGCCUAGACUGAAAAACAGCAGUGACAACAAAAAUCCCCCUUACUAACAACAAUAACCCCCUAUCCUCCUGUGAGUAAGGGAGGUUGGGGAACAGAGAUAACAAUCAGCCAGGCUGUGUCCUGGAGCUCCCUGCUGCAGGGACACAUCCACAUAAAGUUGCUGUUGCAAACUAAUUGCCUUUGCUGACUCAUUCACAGAAUCAUGCAGGCCACAGACUGUAAUUAUCGUGUCAUAAUUAUCACUUCAACAGCACAAAGAGUGCACUCUUAUCUGAUAUGAUAAAAUAGUUCAAUUAAUUUUAAACAGAAGGAAACACUAGUACAUCCUCAGAGCCUGGCCACGAAGACAAAGCAAGCUGUCAGCACUAGAUUAUUGAUUUCGUGUUCUCUCCUGGCUUUAUUAAUUUUCGUUCAUGCAUUACAGUUACCAUUUUUCAUGCACUUAGGAG